CAAUAGCGUAUAUUAAAGUUGUUGCAGUUAAAAAGCUCGUAGUUGGAUUUCUGGUGGGAGCGAUCGGGCUGGCGCUUAGCGCGAGUACUUGCAUCGUCUCCGGCCAUCCUUGGGGAGAGUCUGUCUGGCAUUAGGUUGUCGGGCAGAGGAUCCUCAUCGUUUACUGUGAAAAAAUUAGAGUGUUCAAAGCAGGCUUAUGCCGUUGAAUAUAUUAGCAUGGAAUAAUAAGAUAGGACUUUGGUACUAUUUUGUUGGUUUGCGCACCAAAGUAAUGAUUAAUAGGGACAGUUGGGGGUAUUCGUAUUCCGUUGUCAGAGGUGAAAUUCUUGGAUUUACGGAAGACGAACUACUGCGAAAGCAUUUACCAAGGAUGUUUUCAUUAA
rnacentral:rRNA from 1 species